rnacentral:rRNA from 1 species
UGGGGAAUCUUGGACAAUGGGGGCAACCCUGAUCCAGCCAUGCCGCGUGAGUGAUGAAGGCCUUAGGGUCGUAAAGCUCUUUCGCCUGUGAAGAUAAUGACGGUAGCAGGUAAAGAAACCCCGGCUAACUCCGUGCCAGCAGCCGCGGUAAUACGGAGGGGGUUAGCGUUGUUCGGAAUUACUGGGCGUAAAGCGCACGUAGGCGGACCAGAAAGUUGGGGGUGAAAUCCCGGGGGCUCAACCCCGGAACUGCCUCCAAAACUAUUGGUCUAGAGUUCGAGAGAGGUGAGUGGAAUUCCAAGUGUAGAGGUGAAAUUCGUAGAUAUUUGGAGGAACACCAGUGGCGAAGGCGGCUCACUGGCUCGAUACUGACGCUGAGGUGCGAAAAGCGUGGGGAGCAAAACAGGAUUAGAUACCCUGGUAGUCCACGCCGUAAAACGAUGUC